GGGGAUUUGGCUCAGUGGUAGAGCGCUUGCCUAGCAAGUGCAAGGCCCUGGGUUCAGUUCCCAGCUCCA
rnacentral:tRNA from 1 species